CGGAUGUGUAUAUAAGUAUUUGGAAUAAUAUAGAUUUACAAGUUAUUUAAUCUCAUUUGCAUUUGUAUUGGUUAUCAACUAUUUAAUCUCCAUUGAAAGUACUGAAUAUUUUUAUUUAAGCAGCUGUAUAUCUGGUUCCACAGCUGCAAAUUGUGAAUUGCAAAUACAUCAUAUUUUGUUUUUGAAGAGUACAUUUCUUUCUAAGUAAGGAAAAAAAUCUUUUUUGGAUUGUAGAUACUAAAAAUUAUAUUCCAUUCUGUUGCAUUGUUUCUUAUGGUUCUACAUUUAUUUAAGUAUUAUAGUACCUGACAUUAAUAUACUUUUUAAUGUAUGUAUGUUAUGUAAUUGAUUAUAACUUAAAAAUUUUAUAGUUUUUUAUUUACAUCGUAAUUGUUUUGUAU